GAAAUACUAGUUAAAUUUAUAACAUAAGCUUGUCAAGCCUAAAUUACUUUUAUAAGUGUAUUUCU
rnacentral:tRNA from 1 species